CCCGCCGUAUUUCCAGUGUGACCUCUUCACAGUCUGGCACUCUGGAGAGCCAGAGAAUCCAACCUCACAGAGUCUGCCUGUAUUUGCUCCCAUCCGUUGAGCUUUUGAAAACAUCCAAAUUUGAUUUCAGAGUGAGUCUACAGGAGACUUUAGCCUGUUUACUGAAUCAGAUGCUUCUCUGUCUUGUCUCACAGCCUGCCUGCCUGGCUGGUUGCAGAGAGGCCCCAAGAAGGACAACAGACGGAAAGAAAAAGUAUAACAGCUGUUGAAAACCUGCACUUGAAGAACUAAAACCCACAAGAUCAUCUUCAUACAUAACGAAUUAUCAAGUACAAAGGGGUAGGGGCUAACGGUAGGAAACGGGGUUCAGGCUAAGAAUACAAGCGCUACAUCACCCUGUCCUAAACUUCAGCUGUCCUGUAGCAGGCUGCAGGGUAAUGAAAGAGCAGCAGUCUCCACCUCCUCCUCCCUCUCUCUCCAGCCAUCCCUCCUCCCAUCCUGAGCUCCCCCCUCUCUCUCUCUCUCUCUCUCUCUCUCUCUCUGUGUGCUGCGCUCUGCCCUGGCUGGCCUCACAUCCAGACGGCAGGAAUUUAACGGGGAUGGUCUGCCAGACUUAAGACACAGGGCUGCAGGCUGAGACCAAAUGAGGCACUGCUGGUUACCAACACAGAUACUGAUUUUGGGUUUUGUGCAGCGCAAACAGGAUGUGCAAACCAGUCUGUGGAGAAGGAUCAAGGGUGGGUGUGCGCUGCAAGAUUUCAGAGUGGGCACCAGCUUUAUGGCCAUCUGGACACUGUCUAACUGUAAUAUUAAGGGUACAAUAAAUACGCUUUAUUAUUUAUCAGCUUGAACAAAUAAUUUUAAAAAAAUGGAUUUGAAAAAUGUUGCAAGAAGGACUUUGAUCCCAAAUGUCCUAAUUGACCUCCUGCUGGGAGAUUCUGAAAUUCAUUCAGUAAAUAGUGUCAUGCAUUCAAACCGAAGUGCCAAACAUCACAGAAGCUGCAUGACAGGUGUUGUAUAACACAGCAGAGAAGGAGUAACACUUGGACAUGCCAGCUAAUUGCAUUACAACAGGUAGCCGAUAAUAGCCUUGAUGGGAGUCAACAAGCCCAGACACACGGCUGACUGUUAGCUAAGUGACAUACAUUCAACCGAGCCAUCAGCUGAUCGACCGAGAAGACACAUUAACACACACACACACACACACACACACACAUAAAAUAAACCUGCAGCCACUCUCUUCCGAGCAUAUUUCCACAGCACUGUCCGAAUGCAGUCACCUCCUUUUUAAAACAAUCCCAAUAAACGUUGCCGCUUCAGCGCAACUCGUUCGCACGGUGUUUACAUACAAUGGAGGAGGCAGUCUGGCUAUUAAAGCGCUCCGUCGCGGCUCACGCAACCAGAAUUUGCCCCCUUGACACCAGUUCACCAGCGGCUGUUAAAAGGUUUCCCGGAGGUCAGCCUAUUGUUAGCAGGUAGUGGCUGUCCAGAAGCCCCACGUCCAGCAUUCAAACCUCGCUUUGCAACAAUAAUUUAGGAGAAAA